rnacentral:snRNA from 1 species
GUGCUUGCUUUCAGAAGCACAUAUACUAAAACUGUAACAAUACAGAGAAGGUUAUCAUGCCCCCUGUGCAAGGAUGACACAAAUUUGUGAAGCACUCCAUUUUUUC